AUGAACGCUGGCGGCGUGGAUAAGGCAUGCAAGUCGAGUGCUUUCCGUAGCAAUACGGAAGGAGCGGCGAACGAGGUAGUAACACGUAGGUACGCACCCCAAAGUCAGGAAUAACCAGUCGAAAGAUUGGCUAAUACUUGAUAGUCUCUUCGGAGUAAAGAUUUAUCGCUUUGGGAGCGGCCUGCGGGAUAUCAGCUAGUUGGUAGGGUAAAGGCCUACCAAGGCUAUGACGUCUAGGGGACGUGAGAGCGUGACCCCCACCGAUGGUACUGAGACACGGACCAUACACCUACGGGUGGCUGCAGUCGAGAAUCUUCCGCAAUGGACGAAAGUCUGACGGAGCGACGCCGCGUGAAGGAUGAAGUGCUUCGGCACGUAAACUUCUUUUAUGAGGGAGAAAGUCUAUUGAUAGUACCUCAUGAAUAAGAGGCUCCAAACUCUGU
rnacentral:rRNA from 1 species